rnacentral:rRNA from 1 species
GACGAACCGUGCGAACGUUAUUCGGAAUCACUGGGCUUAAAGCGCGUGUAGGCGGAUGGGCGCGUCGGCCGCUGAAAUCCCCCGGCUCAACCGGGGAAGGGGCGCCGAAACGGCCCGUCUGGAGGGGGGUAGGGGGCGCUGGAACUCACGGUGGAGCGGUGAAAUGCGUUGAGAUCGGGAGGAACGCCCGCGGCGAAAGCGAGCGCCUGGACCCUUUCUGACGCUGAGACGCGAAAGCCAGGGGAGCGAACGGG